AGACUGGGAUAACUUCGGGAAACCGGAGCUAAUACCGGAUAAUAUUUUGAACCGCAUGGUUCAAAAGUGAAAGACGGUCUUGCUGUCACUUAUAGAUGGAUCCGCGCUGCAUUAGCUAGUUGGUAAGGUAACGGCUUACCAAGGCAACGAUGCAUAGCCGACCUGAGAGGGUGAUCGGCCACACUGGAACUGAGACACGGUCCAGACUCCUACGGGAGGCAGCAGUAGGGAAUCUUCCGCAAUGGGCGAAAGCCUGACGGAGCAACGCCGCGUGAGUGAUGAAGGUCUUCGGAUCGUAAAACUCUGUUAUUAGGGAAGAACAUAUGUGUAAGUAACUGUGCACAUCUUGACGGUACCUAAUCAGAAAGCCACGGCUAACUACGUGCCAGCAGCCGCGGUAAUACGUAGGUGGCAAGCGUUAUCCGGAAUUAUUGGGCGUAAAGCGCGCGUAGGCGGUUUUUUAAGUCUGAUGUGAAAGCCCACGGCUCAACCGUGGAGGGUCAUUGGAAACUGGAAAACUUGAGUGCAGAAGAGGAAAGUGGAAUUCCAUGUGUAGCGGUGAAAUGCGCAGAGAUAUGGAGGAACACCAGUGGCGAAGGCGACUUUCUGGUCUGUAACUGACGCUGAUGUGCGAAAGCGUGGGGAUCAAACAGGAUUAGAUACCCUGGUAGUCCACGCCGUAAACGAUGAGUGCUAAGUGUUAGGGGGUUUCCGCCCCUUAGUGCUGCAGCUAACGCAUUAAGCACUCCGCCUGGGGAGUACGACCGCAAGGUUGAAACUCAAAGGAAUUGACGGGGACCCGCACAAGCGGUGGAGCAUGUGGUUUAAUUCGAAGCAACGCGAAGAACCUUACCAAAUCUUGACAUCCUUUGACAACUCUAGAGAUAGAGCCUUCCCCUUCGGGGGACAAAGUGACAGGUGGUGCAUGGUUGUCGUCAGCUCGUGUCGUGAGAUGUUGGGUUAAGUCCCGCAACGAGCGCAACCCUUAAGCUUAGUUGCCAUCAUUAAGUUGGGCACUCUAAGUUGACUGCCGGUGACAAACCGGAGGAAGGUGGGGAUGACGUCAAAUCAUCAUGCCCCUUAUGAUUUGGGCUACACACGUGCUACAAUGGACAAUACAAAGGGCAGCGAAACCGCGAGGUCAAGCAAAUCCCAUAAAGUUGUUCUCAGUUCGGAUUGUAGUCUGCAACUCGACUACAUGAAGCUGGAAUCGCUAGUAAUCGUAGAUCAGCAUGCUACGGUGAAUACGUUCCCGGGUCUUGUACACACCGCCCGUCACACCACGAGAGUUUGUAACACCCGAAGCCGGUGGAGUAACCUUUUAGGAGCUAGCCGUCGAAGGUGGGACAAAUGAUUGGGGUGAAGUCGUAACAAGGUAGCCGUAUCGGAAGGUGCGGCUGGAUCACCU
rnacentral:rRNA from 2 species